AGAUCGAGCUGAGUAUCCGGGGAUCCUAGAGAGAUUCGCGACCUAUCAGCUUGUUGGUGGGGUAGAGUCUUCCCAUGGCUCAGACGGGUACCCGGCUUGAGAGGGUGGCCGGCCACAGUGGGAAUGAGAUUCGGCCCAGCAUCCUACGGGAGGCAACAGUCGGGAAUAUUCCACAAAGGGCGGAAGCCUAAUACAGCAACUCCGCAUAUGGGAUCACGGCCUUCGGGCUGCAAAAAGCUCUCUCCCGUGUUGAAGCGUGAGGAUCGGUAAUGUGUAAAGAAGCACCGGCUAAGUACGUGCCAGCAGCCGCGCUGAUACGUAGGGCCCGAGCGUUGUCCGGAUUUAUCGGGGGUAAAGGGCUAGUAGGUGGUUGAUCGCGUCGGAAGGGUAAUCGUGGGGCUUAACCCUGAGCGUUCUUUCGAUACGGGUUGACUUGAGGAAGGUAGGGGAGAAUGGAAUUCCUGGUGGAGCGGUGGAAUGGUCAGAUAUCAGGAGGAACACCAGUUCGAAGGCGGUUCUCUGGCCCUUUCCCGACCAUGAGGAGAGAAAGCGUGGGGAGCGAACAGGCUUAGAUACCGUGGUAGUCCCAGUUGUAAACGGUGGGUAUCUUGGUGUGGGGUCCAUUCCACGGGUUCCGUGCCGUAGCUAACGCUUUAAGUACCCAACCUGGGGAGUAGGGA
rnacentral:rRNA from 1 species